ACGGUGUCGUCCAGCUCCUGCAUACCACCCAGGGAGCUUGCAGAAGCCAUAAAGGGAAUUAAUGCCAUGAAUAUUCAAUUAAGAGCCUGUGUACAGAGGCCGCUCUCAAGGAAUCCUCUCCUGUGGCCUCGGGACAGACAUGAGUGAGGUUCUAGUUCACGUGCUGAUGAUUAUAGGGUUGUAGAGUAGAGCACCGAUUCAAAGCCCAACCCAACCAGGUCUCGCAGAGAAGCCGGAUUGGAAUUCAUGGCCGGGCACCUCUGAAGUUGAUAAGGGCUGACAUCUCAUGGACCAACCCUCAACCACUGGGAGACGGGAGCUGCUGGAUAAAUGAUUCUGUCUUCUGUCCCUUGGGCAGAUGAUGCAGAGAUAUUUUAUUCUCUUUUCAUGAUGUCCUGGUGAUGGGAUGGGGAGCUUGAUACCACACUAUAGUGUGUGUGGCAUUGAUGGCAUUGGCUUUUCCUCCUUCCCUGUUGACCCUCACUAGCACCUCACUGGCAUCCCUGGUUGACUUCCUGAAAUAAACUACCUGCACACAGUCCUUUUCUAAGGCUGCAUUUUAGGAGGGGGAAAGAGGCCACACCAACACAGAUCUCUAUUGGUGGGAGAUCAUGUGGCUGGUUUGAGGAGUUCAGAGUUUGAUAUUAUUCUGGCAUCUCUACACAUGCUGGG
rnacentral:lncRNA from 1 species